rnacentral:lncRNA from 1 species
ACUUUAAACAUGAAUAUUUCCAUAAACAAAAUUCAAGUGUUAUAAAUAAAUACUACACACUUAAAUAUUCAAUACAAAGCAAGAAAAUAAAGAGAUAAACAUAAAUGGGUAAGAAAUCCUUAACCACAAGCUUGAAAUCUUCAAGACCAAAGUGUGUGUGCAAACCUUAGCUUCAAGACUUGUUCUCUCUAGUCUCUUGGAACUAAAAAUAAGCCAAAGGAUUUUUCAAAGAUCUUCUAGGCCGAGGAUUAAAUGGCUUGGGGGAUGACUGUGUGAAAUUCUAGAACUACCUAGGAUUUACUCAAUGCGUUCGCAACAGUGAAAACACGAUCACAUAGAAUAACUUCUCCCAGUUAUGCGAUCGCAUAAGGUCUUCUGCGUUCGCACAAGUCUGUUGACUAGCCAUUGACCAGGCUUCCUUCUACGCGAUCACACUUAUUUACACGCGUUCGCAUUGUUUGGUAUUGUGAACUUUUGCGAUCGUAUACAGUUCCCUGCGAUCGCAUAGUGUAAUUGCUUGCAGUGGUCCAUUUUUCCAUUUUAGCUCCUUUUUGACUUGUUUUCACUUGGUUUCUUUACCAUUCCUUCUAAAUCACACACAACCUGUAAAAUAGAAGUAAAUGACAUCAAAUACACAAUUUUAUCACUCAAACAUAGCAAAAGUAUAGGUUUAAAGACAAGUUAAGUUGGUAAAAUACUAAUUUUACCAACUUAUCUGUGCCUAAAGCAAAAUAUUGGCAAUUCAUGUUCUUUGACUCAUCAUGCAUAUUUGUGCCACUUGGCUUGGCUUAAUGCCAUGUGGCAGUAUAAAAAAAUAUCCUUAUCCACUUAAUCAAUUAUCCACAUAAUUAAGAAUUAUUACAAAUUACUUAUAAUACUACUCACCUUUAAUACACCUUAUGUACCCUACUAUCAUGGUCAUGUGGUACUAUAUAAAAUAAAGACAUACACUAUUGUUUCAUUAAAACAUUCAUGUAAAUAUACAUAUAUUUUCUCAACUUCUAAUUUUUCUAAUCUCAUAUAAAGAGUACAAAUUUUCGUACGCAUAAUUCUUAAAAUGGUAAAAAGAUAACCUCUUUUUCUUGUGAAAAAAUAAAUUUUGUCUUUACAAUAAAGAAAAUCUCAUAUUAGGUAUGUAAUUUAUCAUAUCCGAAAAUAGUAAUAAUGAAAACUAUUCAAAAUUAUACUUAUAAAAGUUUUACUAAAAUACUCCACUUAAAAGAAAAUACCACACUAACAUAAUAUCUAACGAUAUUAAGGUUGUAAACUUACAGGGUCUCAUAGUAAUAAUGUCUUAAGCCCUCUAUAACCUCCUAAUAGAUAUAAUUCCUUUGAACUCAGGUGGAUUUACUAUGGCACAUCCUAAUGCUAAGGUACGAGAUGUAAUAUCCUUCCCCCCUUUAGAAACAUUCUUCCUCGAAUGUUAACUCCUUGAGAUUUUCAAAACUUUCGCUAGGGUCUCCUCUGUAAAUUAAACUAAAACUCAACCUCUAUCUGAAGUCUCGACUAUUUAUAACCGUUUGUAAUUGUGCAUCUCGCAUCUUCUUCACCUUUAUGUUACUUACCUUUCAAUCUUGCAUCCUGUAUUCUAUUUCUUUCAUAACUUCCCUUCCAUAUAAGUGAAAAUUACACCUUAAUGCUCUACUAUAAUACCUGCACCUUUGGUGCAUACAAAACAUGGUGAAAGCUUCAUACUGACUUCUUACGACUCAGCUCUAUGGCACGAUCUGGAAACAAAAGAAGGAUAAUAUUUUCUAAAUGUCCUAUAGCCUCUCAAUUAUAAAUGUGGCGCGCAACACACCCAUAAGUGAGACUCUACUAGGCAUGGCUUUGUAAACUUCCUAGGACACGACUCGCUCUAAUACCACUCUGUCACGCCCCAACCUUGGGAGGCGUGGCUGGGGCCCGGUGCCGCAUUAGCCCAAGCUAACCACUCUGUAACUCAUUCAUUCAUUUUGUAACUAUCAUGGGCCAACAUGGCCACAACUCGUAAAGUACAAUUGUAAGUGCAAAACGCUGUUUCGCUGAACCAUUUUUCUUAAAACAUGAAUAAAUAUGGGCUGGUAAGGCCUCUCACAUACUAUACAAAAUAAACAUUUGUCUACAAAUACUCUAAGAUUAUUUAAUAUAAAAUGGGAUAGGGUACCAGCCUACCCACAAGUCUGUAAAAAAAUUCUGGCACGAUGACUCAUAGACUCGGCUGCACUCCGAAUGAGGUGGAGUCUUACUGAUCCUUCGCUGAACGCAGACCUCGUCUAUUGUAAGGGUUCAUCAAUCUGAUUAUCUAUACCUACAGGCAUAAAUGAAGCGUCCCCAACAAAAGAACGUCAGUACGAAUAAUGUACUGAGUAUGUAAGGCAGAACUGAAACAUAACAGUAAGUCAACAUUAAUUAGGGACAUAGAAGAAAUAUAGAGUAAAUGACUCAACCGGUAAGUCUGAAUAGUUCUGUAAAUCAUGAAAUAUUUAUAGUAUCAUGCAUAUGCAUAUAAAUGUCAUGUAAUGCAUAGGUCUGUAUGUACAAAACAUCAUAAAGCCUCUGAAGGCAUCCCAUUAUAUCAUCUCAACCACUGUGGGCAAAAUCAUCAUCGUAUACAAGCUGAUUAGGUUGUGGUGCAUAUAUAACGCCAUAACCUUUCCCAUAUACAUAUAUAUACUUAUAUAUACGCGUAUAUAACGCCAUAACAUCAUCACGCCUCUGAGGGUUCAGAGGCGUGUCCCAUCAUAUCUUCUCGGCCACGGUGGACAAAUCAUCAACGUAUACCAACUGAUCAGGUGGUGGUGCGUAUAUAACGCCAUAACUUUUUUUUCCAUAUCCCAUAUACAUAUAUACACGUAUAUAACGCUGUCUGAGUCAUGAGUAAAUGCACAUGUGAAUGAAUGCAAUGCAUGAGAAGUACGUUAAUAAAACCUUUUAGAAUGUCAUAAGACCAUUAUGCCUUAAGUAGUAUCAUGAAGUAAACUUUUUUUUUCAACUUACGUAUUUCUGAGACCCAUGAAUAGAUGAUAGAAUAUUAUGACGCAUGAAAAUUCAAGAACAUAGAUAUCUCUAAUACUUCUAUGAAUUGAGUCAUUUAUGGAAGUUAUACAUUUUCUCAUUUCGUUUGUACCGCAUUGAUCAUGCCAAAAGAAGGAAGGGACAACCUUAACAUACCUGGAUUAGGAAAAAAAUCCGUAUGUAUUAUGAAGAAAGAUUUUACCGUACUCCCUUAGAAUCGAAAUCUCAAGUUGUGAUAACAUUAGGUAGACAUCGUAUGAAAUAUUUGAACCAAUAUUGCUGCUAUUGCGACCUUAACUUUGCCGAAGCUUUCCCGGGAUGUAACAAUCUUUGAAAGAAAUUGCCCCUCACAUCACUCAUUGAUUUCACGUUAUUCAUCAAAUACUUCCCAAACCAUCCAUUUUUGGUUUUUUUUUUCAUUAAAAUGGCACUUUCACAUCAUCUGAGCACUAAUUCUUCCAAAAUUACACGGUAAAUAAUCACUUGGAUACUUAAAUACCUUAAGCAACAAAUAGCCAAUGUUCAAACAUUUAUCCAAAGAAAGUUCAAACCGACCAAUUUGAAGUUUUUCUUUAAUCUUUUCCGGUUAGGAGAUUGGAAAGAUUUAGUUCAAUGAUAACCACGACGUCCGAGUCAGCUGGCGCGCACCUCGAUUAAUUCAUACAUAACUUGCUAUCUCACGCCAGCAUAUGUACCAAGUAACUCUGCCCAUCGAGGUUUGGACAAAAUGGGAAGAAAUGACCUCAACUGGAUAUGAACCUGAUACCUCAUGGGUCUCAACCUACUUCGUUAACCACUAAGCUACACCCUUAAAUGCAGCAUUACACAUGCUCUGCAUCAUUCAGCACACUUACGCUUACCAUCUUCUACAAUACUAAUUGAGCUUUAGGAGCGUUGGAGAAGAUAACAACAAUAAGCGCCAGAGAGAAACAUACCUCAAUCUUUAAGAAAGAUAUUACAAAAAUUUCCCUCUUCGUUUAUUUUGUGUAAUAAACUACAUUUUAUAUACAUACAGACAAGUUUGUCUUUUAGUAUUUUUUUUUUCUUCUGCGUGGGCAACAAAGUACCUUAUUUCAUUUUAAAGAAAUUAUCAUUUUACUGUUUUAUGCACACAGCAAAUUUAAGUACACUACUAACAAAGAAUGAUGAAAAGAACAAAAUGAAAAAAAAUGAUACAAUAUAUAUCUAUAGAGAAAUCUAUUUCAGUACUCCCUUUCAAUUUCAUUCGUUUUCACUUUGCAAUCUUCCAUGUUUUUAUUUGCAUUUUUAUGUUUAAAUAUUAAGUGUGUAAAGCCUAAAUGAAAAAGUUUCAAAUAGGAUGGUAAAAUUAUAUUCAUGAUCCAAUACAAUAUGAAGGUGUAGUUUUGCUAUAUAAAAGAACAAAAUUAAAAUAUAUGGGUUAAACUUGUCCACUGAUAAAUUAUAUUAUAGCUUUGUUACGCAGUUUAAAAAAGGGAGAUUAACGCAGUACUUCUUUCAAAAGGAGACAAAAUAUAUCUUUUUCCGCAGAGGAAAUGUCAAUAGCUCGUGUAAUGAGAUAAAGAGCUCGCAUCCAAAAUCUAUAGGCAAAACAAUUGGAAGAAUAAAUCAUCUUGAUUUUUCUAGGAAGAGGAUACCAAUUUGCAGACGAAGGAAAAGUGUUUAUGGAGGCACGGUUGAGAUUAAAAGUUGAAGACAACACCCAUUGUAAAACAAUCACACUAACAAGAACUCUAUGAAGGUAUUAUAAAUGGAUUUCGACUUCUAUGGAGUUGAACAAUGAUUAAUUGAUACCUUGUCUUUGACCAUGCUUAACACUCCAACAUCUUCUAAAGCCACCAGGACGUUUUUCGUCAACAUGCAUUGUAACUAUGAUAAGUGGGUGCUAAGAAAUGAAUCGAGCACCAGAUAUGAGAACAUCAAGAAUACAUGAACUAGUAUACAAAUCCAGGCGUUUCGAAGUGAGAAGUCCAAAGGAAACUCAAACAUGGUCAAGUUAUCUCAAAGCUUGGCUCUUGCUCAGGAGUUUAGUUUGACUUCUACCAAAGAAGCUUUAAAUUGUGCAGAUUAGUAAGUGAAAAUAUAGUACUAAACAAGUAAAUGAUGAUUUUUCGUUAACGUGUGAUGAUUAUUGAAUGUGACAUCAGUUUUCCGAAAAUGAAAAAAGAAAGAGUAGUGAGUUGCUUAGGGAAUGACAUUCCACUUGACUGAACUAUUAAGUAGUACAAGAUAUACUACCGAAGUUGAGCUUAUCC